rnacentral:rRNA from 1 species
AUUGAACGCUGGCGGCAUGCCUUACACAUGCGAGUCGAACGGCAGCACGGGAGCAAUCCUGGUGGCGAGUGGCGAACGGGUGAGUAAUAUAUCGGAACGUGCCCAGUCGUGGGGGAUAACGUAGCGAAAGCUACGCUAAUACCGCAUACGAUCUAUGGAUGAAAGCGGGGGAUCGCAAGACCUCGCGCGAUUGGAGCGGCCGAUAUCAGAUUAGGUAGUUGGUGAGGUAAAGGCUCACCAAGCCGACGAUCUGUAGCUGGUCUGAGAGGACGACCAGCCACACUGGGACUGAGACACGGCCCAGACUCCUACGGGAGGCAGCAGUGGGGAAUUUUGGACAACGGGCGCAAGCCUGAUCCAGCAAUGCCGCGUGCAGGAUGAAGGCCUUCGGGUUGUAAACUGCUUUUGUACGGAACGAAACGGCGAGCUCUAAUACAGUUUGCUAAUGACGGUACCGUAAGAAUAAGCACCGGCUAACUACGUGCCAGCCGCCGCAGUAA